rnacentral:lncRNA from 1 species
AUGAACAUCUACACACAUCCACACACAGACACACAUGCAGGCACACAUGCACAUGGGCAUACACACCCACACAGGUAUCCACACGAGGGCAUUAAUUACCAUCUAUAUGGUCCACACACAGGCACACACACACAUCCACAUGCAUCCACUCAGGCACACACGGAGACACAUCCACACACAGGCCAACAGGCACACACAUAUCCACACACAGGCACACACAUCCUCACACAGGCACACACACAUCCUCAUGCAGGCACACACACACACCCACACACAUCCACAUAUAGGCACACACGCAUUACACGACACAUUACAUCCAUUAAUACAGGCACAUUACAUAUGUAUGCAGGUACACAUACGCACGCAGGCACAUUACACACCCACAUCCAUUAUAGGCAUUACACGCAUUACACGCGAGACACACACAUAUUAAUAUCGCGAGGCACACAUGCGCAUCGCAUGUGCUCUGGAUGGAAUUUGGUCACCUUUGAGCGUGGUGUCAUGACUCAUUCUGGGCCUGUCUCUGGAGACAGACAGAGGUGCUGUGGGCACUUCAGGGAGGUCUUCUGGGUGUGCCUUGGAGCUCAGAUUGGCCAAGGCCCAUGCUGGUGACGCGGAAGCCCACCACAUUCACCACAGCCAUUCUGGGGGUGUUGGUGGCAUCUUUUCUGGAAGAUUCCAUCACUUUCUGGAACCCACCCUCAGCUGAACACAGCCUUUGAGAGGCUUCUGCUUCAGUGACAAUCCCUCCCCCACGUCCGGCUGGUCACGUGCUGCUUUCAGUCCAGGGCUUCCGAGGCAGGAAGAGGCCACCGGGACAGCCAGACUCACUGGGCAGGAAACGGGGCCCACUGACCUUGCGCUCUGGGGUGACCAGCUGUGCUUGGUCUCCAGGCACCCGUCUCCUCCUAUUCUUAGGGACAGAGUCAACUGCUCAGCAAUAGCAGAGCCCAGGGCCAGCAGGACCCCCUGGGGCUCACCCACACCGUGCCGAGAAGCCCGCAUUGGGCGCUGGCUCUGGAAACGCACCAUCAGAGCCACACCGGCUCCAGAAGAUGGGAAUAUCUGUGUUGUAGGGCUGGGGGCAGUGGUGCUGGUGGGAGAGGGGUCAUGAGACUCUUGGAGUGGGUCUGCUCCUGGCCAGCCGCUGACUGUGAGCAGCCCGGUUCUGGUUCUCUGUGUCAUGGGCCAGAGCACACCAGACCAAGGGUGCUGGGCUGGGCCUGAACCUGAGGAAGGAGCCUGGCCUGGCCCUCCUGGGUGGUCCCAUCUGUCUCUGCAUGGGCAGGUGGAUGGGGCACCUGCCCUCUUCUGCUCCAGAUUUAUCCACUGCCCCAGGGAUGUCUGGCUUUGUGAGUGGCCUCCAGGGAGGGCCGGCUCCGUUUCUCUAGGACACAAACACGCUGGGGCCUGACUGUGUCCUUGCUGUUGCAACCUCUCCCCAAAUGCCCGUACCUGAGGGCCGAGACAGAAGCCUGGCCCCAGGACCUCUGGCCACCACAGGGCUGGCAGGGUCCAAGCAGGAUGCUUCCAGAAGGAGCACAAACACAACCCUCUCCAGGCCCUGAAGUCUGUUGCAGGCAUGAGCUUGGCUGCGUCAGAAGUCCCUUUUCUAACUGCAGCUGUGCUGUGGGCCCUUGGGGAUGGGCCUGCCGCGCAUCGCUGCCCUCGGGCAUGUAUCUCAUGGGUACACCUGGCAGGGGGCGGGGACAGAGGCAGUGACUGGGGCGAGCGAAUGGGCAGGAGGUCCUGCCUGCCCUGCUGCAGGAGGGAGGCCCUGUGGCUGUCUGUGCCAGGCAGGGAGGACGCUGCAGCCCCUCAGGCCCCUGCACGUGCAAGUGCCACAGAAUGUAGCAGGCCAGGUGCUUCCCACCACUCUCACUCGGUCUACGUAUAAACAUUUGGGUUUAUAUGUGUGCGUCCCAAAAGGAAAUGUACCAAAGAGGUAAUGGAUUUAUCUCCAGUGGGGGUGAUUAUGGGUAAUUCUAAUGUUCUUUUCAGAUUUUUUUACAUUUUCUUAAUAAUGUGCAGUGAGCAACUGCGAUUUUUGUAAUGAGAACAGAAGAGGAGACAGAUGCAGAAAGCUGGCUAGCGGGUGGUUCUAGGGAUGGGCUGGGCUGUGCAUCUAGGGACGGGCAUGUUUUGCACGUGUAGACUGGCUGCCCGGGCUUCAGGGAAGAGGUGUGGGCGAGUCAGAUGCAGACGAGGCCCUGGCCCUGAACACGGAGGCCCAGCACCCGUCGGAGCCAUGGGUUGCCCAAGGAGUUGCUGAGGGAGUCCUGUGAGGUCUGGGGGCACACGACAAGCCUCGCAGGCGCAGCUCAUUCCCUCGCCCUCGGAAGAGACGGGCCUCGCUCUCACACAGGCCCGCUGGGUGCCCGCAGAGGGAAGCAGGGAGCCAGUGGAGCAGUCAGGCCAGGGAACAGCAUGGUGUCACCAGUCUGUCCCUAUACACAGGCCCACCCGGCCACACCCCCCCCCAGCUACCAUCGCCCAGGUUGUGGCAGGCUGUGGCUGGGAUGUGGUAGACACACCAAGAGGUGACUGAGGGGGCAGGGCCUUGGGGUCAGUCGGACGUCUCCCUCUUGGUCACAAGGAGGCCAAAAGGACUGCCCUGACUCUGACUACUCCUUUGGGGAUGUUGGGGUGACAUUCAGCCAUCUUUCCUGCACCCUGAAGGCCCUGGAUUCGAGGUGCAUAGGGUCGCUGGUGGGCUCUGUACUUCUCUGGGGUGUUCUGGGGAACCAGAGCCCACAGCACGCCCUGGAGCUGUCCUCGUGCUCAGGCUGAACGUGGAGGGCGCUUCCUGCCCCCCGACUCCACGGAGAAUGCUGUGGGGCCUCCUGGCCGGAGCUGUUUGUCCUGCCAAAUGUCCGCAGGCCAAGAGCACCUUGGAGGGGGCACUUGAGGAGCUCUGGGCUCAGUCACUGGAUGGAGCCAGUCAUCCCAGGAUGUCUGGAAACAAGCUUUCUCCUGUCGUUGUGCAGCUGGAUUCACCGGGAUUUCCCCCAGGGCCUGACGGGUUUUCCUAAGGCAGCUGUGUGCUGCGGGUCUCUCUUAGUCUGUUGUAGUGGCAGAGGCCAUAAGACUGGCAUUGGGGAAGAUCCCAGCCACGCCCACAGGCCCAGGCCCUCCAAGCUGAGGAGACCCAUGGUGGGAACCCUACCGAGGGGCCUUGGUGCUGGGAGCCCCUCACAGGGAGGGGAGCCAGGGCAGGCGGGCCUGGGUCAGGGGUGUAGACAAGGCUGGGCCAGAGUCACCCAGGGCACAGAGCUGCCCCUCCCCACUGGGCUGGGUGCCCCUCCCUAAGGCGGCCCAGGUUAGCAAAUUCAAAAGAUCAAAGUUAGAACAAAUCCUUUUUUUUAAAAUUAUACUUUAAGUUCUCGGGUACAUGUGCACAACAUGCAGGUUUGUUACAUGUGUAUACAUGUGCCAUGUCAGUGUGCUGCACCCUGUAACUCGUCAUGUACAUUAGGUAUAUCUCCUAAUGCUAUCCCUCCUCCCCCCACCCCACAACAGGCCCCAGUGUGUGAUGUUCCCCACCCUGUGUCCAAGUGUUCUAAUUGUUCAAUUCCCACCUAUGAGUGAGAACAUGCGGUGUUUGGUUUUCUAUCCUUGUGAUAGUUUGCUCAGAAUGAUGGUUUCUAGCUUCAUCCAUGUCCCUACAAAGGACAUGAACUCAUCCUUUUUUAUGGUAUGCAUAGUAUUCCAUGGUGUAUAUGUGCCACAUUUUCAAAUCCAGUCUUAUC